rnacentral:rRNA from 1 species
UACGUAGGGUGCGAGCGUUGUCCGGAAUUAUUGGGCGUAAAGAGCUUGUAGGCGGUUUGUCGCGUCUGCUGUGAAAAUCCGGGGCUCAACCCCGGACUUGCAGUGGGUACGGGCAGACUAGAGUGUGGUAGGGGAGACUGGAAUUCCUGGUGUAGCGGUGAAAUGCGCAGAUAUCAGGAGGAACACCGGUGGCGAAGGCGGGUCUCUGGGCCAUAACUGACGCUGAGGAGCGAAAGCGUGGGGAGCGAACAGG